CCCCCUCCCCCAAGAAAAGCAGGGGGAGGGGAGGGCGAGCGCGUGGGGAAGGAGGGCUGAGGAGUGCGCUUCGGGAAAUGUUUCUUCUUCCCGGGGGCGAAGGGCUGUGAAGUGAGCGGUUCAAGGGAAAGGGGAACUGGAGGCCGGGACGCGGAGUGCGCGGAGAGGCGGGGGAGGGUGGUGGAGUAAGGUGGCGGGGACAGCUAAGGGUGGGGUGACUGGAGGGAGCAGGCGGGAGGGCGACAGGCGGACCGGGGCGCGAGUGUGUCCGGCCGCGGUCAGGGCCGGGAGCGCGCGCGCCGCCUCGGAGGGGAAGGGGUGCCUGCGAACAAGCCCCCGGGGAACUCGCUUCGAGCGCCCGGAGGCGGAGUACUGCCGGCCCGAGGGGCACCCAGGCGGGAGCCGAGAGGGUCGUGAGGAAGCGAGGACGGUUUCCCGGAGAAGCAACUCAUCCGUCCCGCCGGCUGACGCAUCACAGGGCUCCCGCGCGCCACAGAGGGAGAACUCCUCCAGGCACACCCGGGAGCGGGCCGCGGGGCCGGAAACCCCCGCGGAGACCCCAACCCCACCCACCCCACCCCCGGCUAGAGUGGAGAAGCGAAAGCGGAGAAGAUAUGACGGGGGCUAGCGGCGGAGAGUCCCGGGGCCAGGGCCCUUCGGCUGCCAACGCCCGGAUCCAGGCGAGCUCCGACGUGCAGCGGGGUCUGGCGCCGGCCCCUCCUCAUCACGCGCCCGGCCCAGGGUCGCUCAGCCGCCGCCACCGCCGCCGCCCCUUGGGUCGAUGGAGUCGGCGCGGAAGGCCCGCGCGCCCUGCGCCGCCGCCGCUCAGUGCCGCCGCCAGCACCUCCUCCGCCCCUCCGCCUCCCGGGCUCAUCCCGCGGGGGCGGCGUCACCUCCUCGCUGCCCAGGCCCGGGCACCGCGGGCGCCCCGCGGGCGGCAGCCGCCCCUCCCGAGCGCGAUCUCCAGGCUGGGUCCGGGGCCGGGCGGGGAGGGAGGAGAGACUGAGCGUGAAGGGAGAGGGCGCCCGAGUUUUCGGGGACGGAAGUGUGGAGAAUAGGAGCGUGUGAGGGGGCGCCCGAGGUGUCGGGGGCGGGGGAAGAGUAUGAGCAGGGGUGGGGGCAGGGGUGCCAGGUGUAGCAGGUAGGGAGGUAGAGGCGGCGAGUGGGGGCGCCCGAGGGACCGGGGCGGGGCGGGGAGCGUAAGGGUGGCAAGGCGCCCGAGAGUCAGGGCUGGAGCUGAAGGUGGGUGACAGGGAGGGGGCGCCCAGGUGUCAGGACCUGAGGAGAAAGAGUGCGCGUAGCGGGAGGGCCCCGAAGUGUCGGGGCGGGAUCCUGGAAGGAGGGAGAACGUGAGGAGGGAGGAAGGGUCCCUGGGGUGUCAGGGAUGGGGGCCAGGAAAGGGGCAGAGAGCUGGAGGCCCACAAGUGGGGAUAGCGGGGGAGGGAGGUUGGAGCGAGUGGGGAACGCAGGUGGUGUCGAGGGCGGGGACAGGGCGAGGGGAGCGGGGCGUGAGGAAGUUGUGGGAAACCGCGCUGGACGCUGAGAAUGUGCGGAAGGAUCCUGAGGGGAGGACGCGAGACAGCGCGAGGAGAGACGAGGAGAGUUAGGGUUGGCCGGGAGGGUGCGAAGAUGAAGCGACCACUGGAGGCUGUGAGGGUGAAAGGAGCAAGAAUCGUCUAGAGACGGGCUGGGCCGGUGCUGGGGCCAAAGGCUUCUGUCUGUCAGGCCCUUUUUGGCGCUCACUCUAGAAAGAAGAGGCGGAGACGCGAAGAGAUCGGGUUAGAGUCAGAUUUUCGAAGCACGGAGAUGGGUUCAAUGAAAGGACGAGGAAAGACGAGAAACCAGCGGCCGGAGAACGGAGGUGGCCGCCGCCGUCCUUUGCUCUGCUCGGGGCUGGGCGCCGCCCGGAGAGCCCUCCCGGAGGGGGCGGGGCGGGGCCGGGUGAACAGAGCUGGGCGGGCUCGCCAGCUCUUCCAGGCGCCCUGGGCAAGCAAUGUGGGUGACUGAGCUCGGGUGUGUGUGCCUGUGUGUGUGUGUGUGUGUGUGUGUGUGUACGUACACAAGUGAGCGUGUGUGCGCACCCCACCCAGCCUUCCACACGCGCGCUGCUUAGUACCAGGCCAUAUUGUGGUCUGAUGAGUAACGUAAGCCUUUGGGGUUUAUAUUUACCUUCUUGAUGUGUAGUAAGUGCUCUCCCUCCUCCCUCUGUUCCCCAGGUACCGUCUGACUAGCUCCCCAUUUAAGAGAGCUGGGGACAGGCAAAGCAGCCCUGGAAGUCUCCUGUGAUUUCUAAGCUUAAAUGUCUAUUUUUCUUUUCUCCCAUGCCUUGUAAUUGGGAAGAGGGAAAAGUUUACUUAAGAGCUGUUUUUUAAAUUAUUACUAACUUGUUUCAAACAACACUCUCAUACUCCAGAUAAUUCAAUUUUCAUCUCUUUGGAGCUGAGCAAACCAGAUGAAAUUAUAUGAAUCCCAGUUUAUUUCAUUUUGUUGUAGAGUUCAACAAUUUUUAUGAAUUUCUAAUCCAACCUCAUCAUCCUAUGGGAAACAGAAGACCACCAAGAACAGCCAGCUGAGACAGAAUUUCACUGUGUUGCCCAAGCCAAUCUUAAACUCCUGGUCUCAAGCGAUCCUCCUGCCUUGGCCUCCCACUGUGCCUGGCCUAUGGACUCUGAAUUUUUUUAAAAGACUGGAAAAAACUUUUAUAAGAGAAUUGGAAAUUUGGACAGUAAGUAUUUGAAGAUAAUAGGGAAUUAUUGUUAAUUUUAGGAUAAUAAUUGUAUUGUAAUGAUAUUAAAAAUAAAUCCUUAGUGAUAAAUACUAAAAUAAUUCUGGAUGAAAUGAUGUGAUAUCUGAGAUUUGCUUCAAAAUAAUAUGACUAGCAGGAUUGGCAAUGGAAGAUCAGAAAAAAAAUCUGCAUAAUAAGUUUUCACAAAGAGAUUGAGUCUUCUAGCUUCCUUUCUGGUUGCCUUUCAUUAAACUAGAACAUCAGCAAACUCAGAUAACCUUUUAUCAAGCAUUCAUUAUUUGACACAUACUGUGUCAAGUGCUGUCACAUUUUUUUACCUUCUCAUUCUGUGAAAAAUUAGUAUCAUUCCAUUUUACAGGUAAGACAACUGAGCUUCAGAGGGGUUAAAUGAUGUGACCAAAGGGAGUGCUUGAAAUUCAAGGCUAAUUUUCAAAUCUAGGUCUCCUGGCUCCCUGUCCAGUAUUCAUUCCGCUAUACGCAUUUGCUCAAUAUGAUUGUAUGCAUAUAUUUGGUUUCCCUGACUCAAAUCUGAGCACACUUUUAUUGUAGUGCCUGUCAUAUAAUAGGCAUCAUAAAGUAGUUAUAUUUAACCCAACAUGGUCCCUAAUAACUAUCAUACGUACAAUGUGAAAAUACAAGUAUAACAGAAACUGAUAUUUAAUUAAGGUGACCAUAUGUUCCACUUUGUCUGACACUAUCUCAGUUUUCCCAAGACAGUCUUUAUUUAAUCUGUUGAUCAGGUAUGAUUAUUAAUUACAACUCCUUUCACUCCCCACAGUAUCCCAGUUUGCAGUUCACAUUACAUAGUCUUGCUAAAUUUAGUGUAACAUGAAUUAGACUCAGAUGCACAAUAUGUAAUGGGUGUAGAAAAUCUUUAAAAUCUAGACAAUAUGUUCCUAAAGCAAAGGUGUAUGUCGUGACCAUCCUGUAAUCGCAAUACUACAUGUAGACAUUUAAUAAAUAUUGGUUGAAAUUAAGUUAAUUAAUUCCCCAAUAGAAAAGAAUAAAUCACUCUGAUUAGGUUAUAUUCUCCCCAGGAAAAGAUUUUUGACACCAGCUGGAAUUCAGAAAUAACUAUUAAUAAUAGAAAUACCAGGAAUACUGAGCCCAUCUUCUAAUAAAGUUUCAUGGCAAAAAAAAAAAAUGAGUCAAACUACCCAGGGGUUUGUGAGAAAAGCAUUAUAAUUGAUAUAGAAGUAAUCAACAUAGGCCUGAUAUUCAGUGCAAGAAGAUAAAGUCAUAGCAAGCUUCCCAACUGGAAAAAAAAGUAAUCACUGUUUAUGUAAAAUCAUAUAGGAAGUGACUAUAGAAAUUUGGGGCAAAAUUUGGGAAAUUAGAAAUAGCCUGCAAUCCAAGAUUUCCCACAACUGUGGCUUUCUGAAACAAAAGGUGGGUUUAUCUUCCACAGUGUGACUGACUGCUGUAUGCUUCAAAUGUCCCCCUGUGCCUACGAGGAUUGAUUUAAUCUUAUCUAGAUGGUGCCUGAUCCAACUGCUUUCCUCCAUGUCCUUUACUCUGCCAGACACUAUGAAAUUCAAGAAACCUCAUCCUAGAUCUGAUGAAAGGAGAUGCAAAGCUUACUAUCAGCUGUGUACUGAUGGUACUGCAUCCCUAAUUACUUCACUAUCUUUCUGAUUAGCAUCAUAUAACACUAAAGUGAAAGGGAGACAGAAAAAAGCCAUGUCGUUUCCCAGAAGGGAAGAGUAAAGAAGGGUUAGCAGAAGAAAUCAAGAAGUAACCCAACUUUAUUAGACUCUUUAUCUUACUAGUGGAGAGAAAUUUAGUUCAUCCCAAUACCAGAGAAAGAAAAAUAAGUUUGUCAUGUUUAUUAGCUGCAUAUUUUAUGGGGUGCCUAGUAUAAAGAAAAUGUUACCAUGCCAAUAAUUUUGGAAAAGUCAUUCAACUUUGAAGGCUUCAGUUUUCCCCUUGUAAAAUAAAAAUUCUCUAUAAAGUGAUCAGUAAGAAUUUUUUUUCUUUUUUUUUUUUUUUUUGAGAUGGAAUCUCAUUCUGUCACCAGGCUGAAGUGCAGUGACGUGAUCUUGGCUCACUGCAACCUCCACCUCCUGGGUUCAAGCGAUUCUCCUGCCUCAGCCUCCUGAGUAGCUGGGAUUACAGGUGCGUGCCACUAUGCCAGUUAGUUUGAAGUGGAGGCUGAGAUUCUGCAUUUCUCUCGAGCUCCAAUUGAUGCCUAUACUACUGGUCUUGGGCACAUUUUGAGUGGGGGAAGCGUAUUCUACAGCAAGGAACUGUUAUGGUGAGAUUGUAUUUAGGGAGGUUAUUCUAUGAGGAGAUAGGAAGUGAAAUGGAAGGAACCAAGAGUGGUAUAAAGAGAAAUAUUAGAAGCAAUAAUAAAGGUCAAAUCGAAAGUAAACAGUGGUGAUGAAGAUGGAAAGAAGGGGUAUCUUUAAAAUGUAUUUAAGAUGUAGGAUGAAUAGGACUUGGUGACCAGGCACCUGUGAUAGAUGAAGGAGAGAGAGGAGCCCACACAGUAAUCCAGUCUCAAUUUGAUUUAAGUUAAUAAAAUCUUAUUAAAUAAGCCAGGUGUGCCUCUCGCCUGUAGUCCCAGCUACUCAGGAGCCUGAGAUGGGAGGAUCACUUGAGCCCAGGAGUUCAACUCCAGCCUAAGCAAGAUAGUGAGACACUGUCUCUUAAAAAAAAAAAAAGAAAGAAAACAAAACAAAACCUCAUUAAAUGCACAUUGAACAACAUCUCAAGGAUUAAAAAAAACACUGUAGAAGUACACUUGUUAGGCUAAAGCAUUCAACUGCCACUUAUUUAACCCUGCAAUAUUCUAGGGUUGAUCUUCUGCUGUGUUGUCUAAUAUGGUAGCACUAGCCAUAGCCAUACUAACCACAUGUGGCUAUUGAAAUUUAAACAUAUAUUAAUUUAUUAUGUUAAUUAAGAUUAAGUAACAUUAAACAUUCAGUUCCUCAGUUACACUAAUCACAUUUUAAGUGCUCAUAGCUAUAUAUGGCUACUGGCUGCCAUUUUGCAUAGUGCAGAUAUAAAAUAUUUUCACCUUGGAAGAAAUUUCUCUUGAACAGCACUGAUAGAGGAUUAGUUAAGCAUCUGUAUUGCAAGAAGUCAACAUGGAAAACAUCCCAUUGUCUUUAUUUUUUGUUUACUUCUUUUAAAAUGUAUAUUUUUCUUCUUGUAAGAUGCUUUAAUUUUUUUAAUGUGAUGGUCAAUGAAUUAAGAAAUGGAAAUAUUCGUAAACCAUAUUGAAGGUGGGGAAAUCUUGGCAGGCUCAACAACAUGAUUUUCUCUUAAGAAACAACAUCAUGCUUUGGAAAUCCCAGAAGAUCAUAACACCCCUGAGGGAAUGAGCUCAUUUGUAAGUAAGUCUAUGAGAAUGAUAACAGACAUACUGCUCGCAUGUAAGUAAGGGAUAAAUAAAGCUCAAUUUCAAAGUCUUGUGCAACUGCCAUGAGUAGCUUAGUCAAGAAGGAAGAACUAAGUAUAGAGGUGUAAAGUUGGAAUCUACAGGGCUUUCCUGUAUAAUAACAGUUAGCUUAUCAAUAGAAAAAGAAAGCUCUACCUCUUAGGACACUUCCAGUAACAUAUAAAGGAAAUUCGACAUAAAAUGACAAACAAUAAGGAAAUUUAUUGGCUCAUGUAACUAGAAAAUUCAGAAAUAGAUAAUCAGAAUUGAUUAAUCCAGCAGCCUAGUUAUUUUGUCAGGGACUCAAAUUUCAUUCUGGUUCUGUACUUUGCUGUCCAUGGUAUUGAUUUUAACAGUGAUUCCUUUCACAGACAUAAUGUGGCUGACAAAAACAGUCAGGCCUUUCCACAACUGAGCUAGUCUACUCCUAUAUCCAUUCAAUAGAAGUUCUGAACUGUGCACUAAUUUGAGCACCUUUUAUUCAUCCCUGUGGCCAGGGCAGGCCAUGCUCUGAUGACUUAAGUCUGACUAACCUGAACCUAUCUCUGUAGCAAGAGAGUGGGAUUACUUGAUAGGCUUGACCCAACAAAACCACAUGGUUGCCACAUAAUAGGGAAGGGUGAAAUAGAUGCUGGGAAAUAAUCAUAAUACUUAACUAUGUUGGUGGACAGAAAGUAUUAUUUUUUAGUUUUCAUUAAUGUGAACUAAUUUUUGAAAUCUUUACAUUUUAAGUACUUUUUUUCACACACACAAAAAAUAUGCUGUGGGCCAGGCGCAGUGGCUCACACCUGUAAUCCCAGCACUUUGGGAGGCCAAGGCAGGCAGAUCACUUCAGGCCAGGAGGUCCAGAACAGCCUGGCCAACAUGGCGAAACCCCGUCUCUACUAAAAAUACAAAAAUUAGCCAGGUGUGGUGGCACGUGCCUGUAAUCCCAGCUACUCAGGAGGCUGAGGAAUGAGAAUCGUUUGAAUCUGGGAGGCGGAGUUUGCAGUGAGCUGAGAUCGUGCCACUGUACUCCAGCCUGGGCGACAGAGUGAAACUCUAUCUCAAUAUAUAUGUAUAUAAUGUGAAGCGUAAAAGUGAGCAAAUGAUGUUGAUUUCAGAAUCA
rnacentral:lncRNA from 1 species